rnacentral:rRNA from 1 species
UACAGAGGGGGCAAGCGUUGUUCGGAAUUACUGGGCGUAAAGGGCGCGUAGGCGGCCUUCUAAGUCGAACGUGAAAUCCCUGGGCUCAACCCAGGAACUGCGUCUGAUACUGGAUGGCUUGAGGUUGGGAGAGGGAUGCGGAAUUCCAGGUGUAGCGGUGAAAUGCGUAGAUAUCUGGAGGAACACCGGUGGCGAAGGCGGUUCUCUGGGCCUUACCUGACGCUGAGGAGCGAAAGCAUGGGGAGCAAACAGG